UACGGAGGGUGCAAGCGUUAUCCGGAUUCACUGGGUUUAAAGGGUGCGUAGGUGGGAAAGUAAGUCAGUGGUGAAAUCUCCGUGCUUAACACGGAAACUGCCAUUGAUACUAUUUUUCUUUGAAUUUUCUGGAGGUCAGCGGAAUAUGUCAUGUAGCGGUGAAAUGCUUAGAUAUGACAUAGAACACCAAAUUGCGAAGGCAGCUGGCUACAGGGAUAUUGACACUGAGGCACGAAAGCGUGGGGAUCAAACAGG
rnacentral:rRNA from 1 species